rnacentral:lncRNA from 1 species
GCGAGAUUUGGAAAGUGAUUCCCGUCUCUGUCCCUGCAUCCAACUCAUUUGAGUGCAUUGCCUGUAAACUACCUGGCCCUACUCCCACCAUUGUGGCCACCGUUUACCGUCCACCUAGGCCCCACUCUGAGUUUUUAAAUGACAUUGCUGCUCUACUCGCCCAUCUCUCCACUCUCUCCCCUAAUGUGAUUAUGCUGGGCGAUUUCAACAUCCACCUGGACAACACCACUCUCCCCCUCACCUGUGACUUCUCAUCCUGCCUUGAGAGCUCUGGUUACCGCAUUUUCACUGAUUUCCCUACCCACAUCAAAGGUCACACACUGGACUUAAUAUGUUGCUCUGGUCUCACUCCCUCCAACUGCACAGCUGAUCCACUCCCCAUCACUGACCACUUCCUCCUUUCAUUCAAUGUCACACUCCGCCUCUCCAUGACCAAGCCACCACGUCUCAUCUCAUUCCGUAAUAUCAAGGCCAUAAAUCUUCACACCCUAUCCUCCACCAUCGCUUCUAUGCCGGACCCGGACUACUCCUCCUCCCCUGAUGAACUGGUUCUCCACUACAAUACCUCGCUCACUUCCAUUCUCAACUCCCUCGCUCCUGUUAAAACUCGGUCUGUCUCAUUCGCCCAUUCUGCCCCUUGGUUCACCCCUGAACUCCGUUCCAUCAAGUCCAAAGGACGUCAACUUGAGCGUCUCCACAAAAAGACUGGUCUCACUGUCCACCAUGACAUGUACAAAAAUCAUAUCUUACAGUAUAAGGACUCUAUCGCUUCUGCCAAAUCCACUUAUUAUUCCAGUCUUAUUUGUUCCAACCAUGGCAACUCCAAGGCACUCUUUUCACUCCUCAACAAAAUCCUUCAACCCCCAGAUCUCCUACCCCCCCACCUGUACUCUUCGGACACAUGUGACUCCCUUCUUCAGUUUUUUAAUCAGAAAGUUAAAAAAAUUCACCAGCACUUGAGCCCCACUCCCUCACUUGCCCCCUCCUCUGAACCUCUCCCCUACAGUCUGCCAUUUUCCUCCUUCUAUCUCCCUGAUCCCUCUGCUAUCUCUGAUCUCAUCUGUAAAUCAAAACCAUCCACAUGCCAGUUAGAUCCCCUACCUACUGCCCUGGUCAUAUCCUGCCUCCCCUCACUGCUCCCUCUAAUUGCUGCUAUCAUCCACUCCUCUCUCACUACUGGUUCAUUUCCCGCACCCCUCAAAACGGCUGCUGUCUCCCCAAUCCUCAAAAAACCUGGUUCAGAUCCCAACAACUUUAAUAACCUCCGCCCCAUCUCCAACCUAUCUUUCAUCUCCAAAAUACUUGAGAAAAUCGUUGCUUCUCAACUCCAUUCCCAUCUAUCUCAAAA